UUUUUCAGUAAGCAUAACUCUAUCAUCUCCUCGAACUCACUUAUUUGGUGUUCGUCUUCCCUUAUACUUAGCUUGUGUUUGAAAGCUCAACACCCAAUUACAUCCUUUGCAAUAAUUCCAAAGUAAGCAUGAAUUGUUGUUGAAUCCUCAUCAGAUGACUAGGGUGCUUGAGUAGAUUGGGGUGCUUGAGGAGAUUGGGUGCUCGAGUAGUUUGAUUGCUCUUGGAGAUUUUAGCUUUUGAGGUUGUCCAUAAGUGGACGUGUUAUUUAUAUUCUAGAGCCCUUGGCCUUGAGUUUUACUUGGUUCUCACUCUGUGAAGCAUGCUGGUUGUUCUUUAUUUUAGAGAUGCCUUGUCACAUGUAUUAGAGAGCUUAGCUUUAUUGUUAUCAUGUUUUGAAAGGGUAAAUGCGUUAAUUAGCUUUGAGGCUAUGACAUGGUGUAGUUUUUGAUACCAUAUGUGAUGGAGAAUUUGUAAAAGAGUGAACUUGUUGUAUAGAUUGUAAACCUUUAAUAUCCUUACUGAUACUAGAUUCUUUGUUUCUUUCGUA